CCUACGGGGAGCAGCAGUGGGGAAUAUUGGACAAUGGGCGAAAGCCUGAUCCAGCCAUGCCGCGUGUGUGAAGAAGGCCUUCGGGUUGUAAAGCACUUUCAGUGGGGAAGAAAGCCUUGGGGCUAAUACCCUCGAGGAAGGACAUCACCCACGGAAGAAGCACCGGCUAACUCCGUGCCAGCAGCCGCGGUAAUACGGAGGGUGCGAGCGUUAAUCGGAAUUACUGGGCGUAAAGCGCGCGUAGGCGGUCUGAUAAGCCGGUUGUGAAAGCCCCGGGCUCAACCUGGGAACGGCAUCCGGAACUGUCAGGCUAGAGUGCAGGAGAGGAAGGUAGAAUUCCCGGUGUAGCGGUGAAAUGCGUAGAGAUCGGGAGGAAUACCAGUGGCGAAGGCGGCCUUCUGGACUGACACUGACGCUGAGGUGCGAAAGCGUGGGUAGCAAACAGGAUUAGAUACCCGAGUAGUC
rnacentral:rRNA from 1 species